UUCACAUACACGUGGGAUCAAAGAAGCACUUGAUCAUUUGUUGACUUUUCUGGAUGGUGACAGCAGCAAGUAGGAGGAAAAGAAUAACUGCUGUGAAUCAUUCUAACAGGGAAGUUUCAUCGUAAAGCCUGGGCUCUCCCAUGUAAAAUAGCUAUAUAGUGAUUGAAUCUUUUUUUUAGCUGAUAGACUCUGUGUUGCCACUCACUGUUUAACUCACUCUGUCCUCUCCUCUUUGUUCUACCAAGGUUACAUUUAAAUCGCUGAGAUAUUGUUGAUUGAAUGAUGAUUCCCAAACAUUGCAAAGUGUUGCAGAGCUCCUAGCGGUGUAUGAUGAGCUGCAUUAGACUGGUGAGGCUCUGAACCAUUCCAUCUCAAUACCAAGUUUGCCAACUGAUAGUCUGCUGUAGCCUCCUCCACUUGGUACUGCUGCUGUACGGUUAUUAUCUCUUUUGCUUAUGUCUUAUGCCAAAUACCCAUUUUCGGCAAAAAAUAAAAUCUCAAUAGUGACUGUGAAGAAUAUGCAUUUGCACCAACCACCAGCAGCUUUACAUAUGCAUAUAUUUGCAUUCCUAAAGAUGGUAACGUGCUCCCAAAAUGUUAGGGUUAGGGAGCUUCUAGUGUAAUCGGUGAGGGCGAUGUGUGUGCUCUUUGAAGGCUGGCAGUGCAAGCAUCCUCUUACAGGGGGAUUCAUUCAAGUCACAGGCUGUUUUUUUUUCUCUUGGGUGAUCUAUGUUCAAAAUUUUCAUUCAGACAUCAGGAAAACAAUACUUGUAGUCUUUAGCAUGUAAAGAGUUAUCAUUACCAAUGAGCUUUCCACCUCUUUCCUCCGAUAAUAACACCUUCCUAAAUUACAUUUUCACAAAUCAGUAAAGUGGAUCAUGCAUCCCUGUGGUGCAGUGCUCUUAAAAGCAUAGAAAUAUUAAAAUCCCACAGGUGCGGGAGCACCGCAUUCAGCUAAGUAGCUUAAAGCUGUCAUAUGCCUUUUGUUCUGAAAACAUAUUUACACUAAAAGUAAUGAGAUAUAAUCACUGUUGGCUGUGGAUUCAGAUGUACCUUCAUAUUGAUGUGCUUUUCAUAUACAUUUUUAUUCUAGGGGUUGAAGAGUUUCCUUGUGGCUGUUUGAAAUCUAUCAUGCUCACCAGCCUAGGGAUUAUAGUUUUUGGAAGAGCUUACCAGUUCCACCAGCUCCUGCUGGGGGAAUAUCCAUUAAACAAGAGGAAGAAACGUACAAAGUAAAGGAUGAUACUGAAAUUUCUUUUUUUUUUUUUUUUCAUUUCCUCUAUCAUCCCUGUCCAAAAGAGGAAAUGAAAUUUGAGGUGUGAGUUAGCAAAACUUGCAAAAGAUGAGAAAGUGAGGAGCGGUUUUACAGGUUGUCUACUGGAGGCAGCGUGGUGGAUAUUAGAUGGCUGAAGGCACAAAACUUCAUACGCUUCCUUCACUUUGAAGCCCAGGCUCCAGGCAUGAUAUAGUAGAGAAAAUGAUGUGCGUCUGGUGGUAACCACACAAUGCCUCUGAUGAAAUCAAGAUGGUCUUUGGUACAGGAGUCUUUCACAUCCUCAAAAAUGUGGUGUAAGUAAUGCUUUUUCGCUUAAAAGUCUUUAGUAAUUCAUGAACUAAUAAUAGCGCUACAGAUGUUAUCUGAAAUUAAGCUUAAGUAGUUAAAACAUGGAGAGGUCAUGAACAGGUCACCAUCAUCUACAAGAUGGAACAGAUACAGGGCUGUUACUCUGAUAAUGGUUUGUGCCUGUGAUUGUACUUGCAGGAAGGCCAAGGGGGUUCCUGUGGUGGGACAGAGCUGUGUGUGUGUUCCCGCAGAGAGCGAUUCCUCUCUCCCUACAGUUUUACACACCAUAGUACCACACCUUCAGUGAAGUUCAAGUGGGACUAGCAAAUUGUUGAUAGCUCUAUCUACAUGGUGCUGAACCUCUCCAAGUGCCACAGACUGCCUGUGUCUAAAUGGAAGUCAUAAACUUCUGUCUAGCUCUUGAGCUCCAGCUCUCCAUAAAUGUUGGGCUUGCAUGUCAGAAAACAAUCACACAGCCCAUGUGCAAUGAAAAAGUAGUUGGUAUUCGUGUCCUGAGCAAGUAUAUCAUAGCUGAUCAUAGCUGUUCAUGUGAAAAGUAAUGAAGGAACAAGCUAUUUCCAGACUUUAUUCUCAACUUUUUAUCUCUCAAAGCUCCCUAUGUGUUUUCUGUGCUCUACAAUUGCUGCUGAGUAAGACCAGAUUAAAACAAUUAGGCACAGAGCUAUUAUGAAAGUGGAAGCGAGCCUGCCUUUCAGCCCCAUAGGGAAUGAUCAGUCAGUGUGUUCUUCCUUUGCUGUAGGCUACAGAAGUUACUUUGGAACCUUGCUUGCGUUGGAUGACUAAGCAUCAUCUUUUUGGAUAUUCUUGGGAUCUUUAAACCAGUUAGGUUUUCAAGUCUAAGACUGUCCUACUGACAAUGCUGUGUCUCUCUAGCAGAAUAGAAAGUAUUUUUAGCAUGUGGUUUCAAACCAAUGUACCUCCUGUCUGUCUAACUAUGUUGCCUUGCAGUAUACGCAUUUAUUCUACUUCACUAUAACGAGGACAGUCCUCAGGAUGCCCCAGCGUGCAGCUCACACCUCUCCUAGCCUGCACUGGGAUACGUGCCUGUCAGCACACUGAAGUAAUGCAGUGUCAGAGCCGAAGGUCAUCCCCAGGGUAUUUUUCUCCCUGCUUCAAGAUAGUGCUUGAAUCUGGUGGAAUAAAAGCAAACGUCAUGAGUGCUGGAAGGACUUGUGCACUAUUUCAAAGGCAGAAUGGGAACAAAUGAUGAAGCAACACAGAGAGGGGAGUGGACAGAGGCAGACGGAAAGAGAGGAGCUACUGCAGCAGUAACAGUUUCCCACUGAAAAAGAAGAGGAGGUAUUUUCCCCUGCUACUCAAAACAUGGAAACAAAUUCUAACAACAGCUUACAACUGGAAGGAAUUAACCAGCCAGGGAGAGUCUUGCAGCUCUGAAGCGAACAAGUGGAGAGACCAAGGAUUUCAUGGGAAUCUGAGUAACCUCCUGGAUGGUGGAGGAGGAGCAAAACCUCAAUUUCCUACAGAACCCAGCAGUGUGCAUGCACACAGGCACGCAAGCAAAGGGGCACACUCCCACGUGCACUCAGGGCAUGUCAUGGUCCAGUGUAGAGGAGCCUGCGUAAGACUGGAUUAUUGGUCAGUCUGAAAAGGAGACGACGAGCCUUGGAGAUGAAAGUCCAUUCUCCUCAGUAGACACAGCUUGUGGGAACUCAGUGCACACUUGGGCAUAGCUGGUUGGGAAAGCAUAUGCUGCCCAUUUGGCAUGGAAUAAAUUUACCUUGUCGGGUGUUAUUCUCUCUCCGUGAGCCUAAUAACUGCCUGAAAUCAUUUGCUGAAAGUAAUUGUUUGGACAUAUCUCCGUAUGCUCUAAAAGGUAGUAAGGUGGUGCAGUCACAGGAGGAACUGUGCGCAGGAGAGAGCACUCUGGUUUGUAGUAGGAAGCCGGUGUGAGGAAUUAAAGCUCCUGUUGUGACAGAGAUGGCAACAAAAGUAGAAAACUUUGUCAUGCAGAAGGAAGAACUGCCUUUGUGAUAACUGAGACAUUCAGAGUUCUUGAAUAAUUAGAGCCACUUCACAUCAAUGGUGAUCCAUAAAGAAAGGCAUUUUGCGUGUGAAAAUCUGCAAAAGGUGCAAAACUUUGGGGUAUGGGCAGUCAGAGGUGAGCAACUGGGAUUGGUUAUGCUACAGAGCGCCCCCGCCUUUGCACAGCUCUACAGGAUCAUGGAAAGAGGCCAGUUGCUGGAUUUCUGUACUUUAUCUUGAUUAAACGGCUGUUUCAAUUUGCUCUUUCCAAUUGUACAGAGUGGCACAAGAAUUCAUUACAUGAGACCCCAAGGACUACCUAACCUGAACUUUAUAUGGACCACCAGCUCAGGAAUUUUCAUGGACAUCGCUAGCCUAGCGGCCAGCAGGUGUGAAGUGGAAGAAGCAGGACAAGAAAGUCACACUAAAUAUAAGAUGAAAAAAGAAAUCAGUAGCUGCUGGUGCCGUUUCUAGCUGCACUGACGCACAGAAGCACAUGUAAGCACCCAUGGUGCAAUGUCAUGGGAUAGACCUACUUAUGCAGCCGUGCACUUCACAGCGUGUGCAGGGAGAGAACAACACACACGCUUUACAUACUUUGCCGUACUCUUUGGUGUCAGACAAAGCUGUGGGCAUCACACAGUGUUGUGUGGCCUGGAAACAACCCGACCCAGCAACCUGCCCCUAAGGAGCCCCCAGCUUCUCCUUGUGCCUGCGUGGAUGCCAUGAGACCCUGCUGGCCUUGCCACCCUCUGACUAAAAUGGAGCGAUGAAAUUACUCCGGAUGAAGUAGACAUUACAUUAUAUUUGUAGUGGUUGCAACUACCAGUAAUCUCUGAGUUAUUGACCUUGAGCAAGUCACCUUCACCCACGCCUCUGCCACGUUCAGAAACACAACAGGAUUUCUGGAAGACCUGCUCCACUGGCUGUGACCUCUUGAAGGAGCAGAGUGGAUUUUCUUAGGUGUGAUUUUUUUUUAUGUACUUUCAUACUUUUCACAUCUGGUGGAGGAAUGGCAGCGUUCUCAUGCACCAGCCACUGCUGGCUCCGGGGUGUAGUGGGAUCAGGGGAAGUGGGAUGGGGAGGGCAGACUGCUCAGCCCCAGGGAAGGGCACCAAGGUGACUUCUCAGCCUUCCCCUGAACCGUGGUCCCUGCCAGUACCUGUUUCACCUUACUUCACCCUUUUCCACCAGCAGAGCCCCAGCCCUGCAGAAGAGCUGAGCUUUGCAAAUGACAGCCAGAGGUGGCUGGAUGCUUCUCACCCUGCUUUGCCAGAUGGGCUUGGCACUGUGAGAGGUAAAUCUAGAGGGGACUGUACCCCCUUGAACCUUUUGGCCCUGUAUUUCCCAAGAGGCAGCUCUGUCUCCAGCUACCUGCCCCUUCUCCGGUUUUGGGGGAGUAGAGGUCUGUGCUGGCUCUUCUCUUCACGAUUUAUAAAAAAAAAAUAAAAGAAAGAAAAAAAAUCCACUUUUCAGCAGAAGUGAUGCACGACAUGGCAGAAACUGUUGGGAGCAGGAUUUGGCACCUGGGGGAGUGGGACCCAUCUGCAGCUCCAUCCAGUGUGGCGCUCCCGGGGAGCCCUGCACGUGCCUGGGGCUGUGGGCACAGAGCGGGGAGGAACCAGUAAUGGGGAGGGGAGAAAAAACACCCAGGGAAAUUAUUUACGAGAUUUUGAUUUCUGCACAAAUCUUGCCCUAAAAAGGGCACAGCUGUCACUCCAUUUGUCAACAUCAGCAAGUAAUUAUGUAAAGAAAAACAUCAUUGUACUUUUGACUUUGACGCUUGUCGUGUUGGCCACAGACCGAUAGAUGGACCACUUGGAUUACGUGAGUUAAUCGCAUGGUGUGAAUGCACAAAGCUGGGAGGACUCUUCUGGCUUCAGCUAAGCUUGUUAUUUUUUUUUUUCCCUUAAUAAUAGAGUGAGAAUUGAGAAAGAGAGAGAAAAUUAGCAGUAGAAAAAAGCAGCUUCUCUUUGUUGAAUAGACAGUUUAAUUUAUUCCUGGGCGCAAUGUACCUGAAGAAUGAUAAGAAACAACUUUGAUAUCAUGCUAAAUAAAUAAAAAAAAGGUUGCAUAACCUAAUUUUCUCGGGGUUGUACAGCAGUUUCUAUUUUAUCAGCUUUCCCUUAACUGGAGCAAAAUUAAUAAGACGAGAAAAGUAGGGCUACCCUGGAAUAAUACGAGAUUUCUUGAAAAGGAAAAGAAAGUGUCUGUAAAGUAAUUAGUUUGUGUGUAGGUUAUUGUGUGGCAAUUCAGGAGGGCUGACCUCCCAUUGAGAGAGUGGCACCGAUGACUGGGUCCCUGUGUCCCCAGGCUGCAGCCCCGUGUCCCCAGGCUGGAGCUUGCCUAGAAAGCCAGUGGCUCCACGAGCAGGACCUCACACUGGAGCUGGCUGGGGUGCUUGGGCUUGGCAAGUGACCACUCGUGUCUUGGAGAUGGGAAAAACAGAGGGGGAGAAAUGUCUGUGUGCAGCUCAGCUGCAUUGAGUGUAAGCUUAAUGC